rnacentral:rRNA from 1 species
AUUGAACGCUGGCGGCAGGCCUAACACAUGCAAGUCGAGCGGAUGAGAAGAGCUUGCUCUUCGAUUCAGCGGCGGACGGGUGAGUAAUGCCUAGGAAUCUGCCUGGUAGUGGGGGACAACGUUUCGAAAGGAACGCUAAUACCGCAUACGUCCUACGGGAGAAAGCAGGGGACCUUCGGGCCUUGCGCUAUCAGAUGAGCCUAGGUCGGAUUAGCUAGUUGGUGAGGUAAUGGCUCACCAAGGCGACGAUCCGUAACUGGUCUGAGAGGAUGAUCAGUCACACUGGAACUGAGACACGGUCCAGACUCCUACGGGAGGCAGCGGUGGGGAACAUUGGACAAUGGGCGAAAGCCUGAUCCAGCCAUGCCGCGUGUGUGAAGAAGGUCUUCGGAUUGUAAAGCACUUUAAGAUGGGAGGAAGGGCAGUAAGUUAAUACCUUGCUGUUUUGACGUUACCGACAGAAUAAGCACCGGCUAACUCUGUGCCAGCCGCCGCGGUAACAC